GAGGCAGCAGUGGGGAAUAUUGCACAAUGGAGGAAACUCUGAUGCAGCAACGCCGCGUGGAGGACGAAGGUUUUCGGAUUGUAAACUCCUGUCUUUUGGGACGAUAGUGACGGUACCAAAAGAGGAAGCCACGGCUAACUACGUGCCAGCAGCCGCGGUAAUACGUAGGUGGCGAGCGUUGUCCGGAAUUACUGGGCGUAAAGGGCAUGUAGGCGGUCUUGUAAGCUUGGCGUGAAAGACCACGGCUCAACCGUGGGAUUGCGUUGAGAACUGCGAGGCUUGAGUGACGGAGAGGGAGCUAGAAUUCCUGGUGUAGGGGUGGAAUCUGUAGAGAUCAGGAAGAAUACCAAUGGCGAAGGCAAGCUCCUGGCCGAUGACUGACGCUGAGGUGCGAAAGUGUGGGGAUCAAA
rnacentral:rRNA from 1 species